rnacentral:rRNA from 1 species
UACGAAGGGGGCUAGCGUUGCUCGGAAUGACUGGGCGUAAAGGGCGCGUAGGCGGAUUGUACAGUCAGGCGUGAAAUUCCCGGGCUCAACCUGGGGGCUGCGCUUGAGACGUGCGAUCUUGAGUGGGGAAGAGGGUCGUGGAAUUCCCAGUGUAGAGGUGAAAUUCGUAGAUAUCGGGAGGAACACCAGUGGCGAAGGCGGCGACCUGGGCCAAUAUUGACGCUGAGGUGCGAAAGCGCGGGGAGCAAACAGG